rnacentral:lncRNA from 1 species
UGCACACCACCUCAAGAGUCUCUGUCAGAGUGUCUUAGGAAUCCAGAAGACACGCUCAAAGCUGCGUGCAAACGUAGAUCGGACCUCCUGUGUAUACUAAUCCCCAAAACCUCUCCCAUGUCGAGCGACUCUGGACUCUCCCCAUUGAUAAGUGUCCAGUCGAAGUGGUACAACAGUUGCAAACAAAGCUCCAGGACAUUGCCUACGUCCAGCUCCGAACGGGAUAAACCCCAUGUGCACGGUGGUGGCCUUGAUGUCAUCACCAUUCUUCUCGAAUCUCUCUGGCAUGAACUCAUCAGCAUCCUUCCAAUAUCUUGGGUCCCUCGCUACAGCAAAUGCGUUUAUGAAAAUAUUGGUGCCUUGUGGUAUGUAGUGGAGGUCACCAAUGUCAGCACCGGUGACCAUGGCUCUUCCUUGGCCAAGUGCGUUUUGAACUUCUUGUUUUGCCUUCUCCAUCGUCCUUGGAUUCCUCAUGAGCUCUGCCAUAGCCCAUUCAAGCGUGGAACCUGUAAGAUGAGGGCGCCGAUGAUCUCCGCGGUGAUAGGGAAGGUGAGGUUGUCUUCCCUUUGUAGCCUCAGGAGCACAUCGAGCAGGUCGUCGUUAUCGUCGUCCUCAGCGCUGGCGCCAGGGGAGGCACUCGCCUCGUUCUCCUUGCGGUCCUGA